rnacentral:rRNA from 1 species
UACGGGGGGGGCAAGCGUUGUUCGGAAUUACUGGGCGUAAAGCGUGCGUAGGCGGUUCGCUGUGUCCGAUGUGAAAGCCCCGGGCUUAACCUGGGAAUGGCAUUGGAAACUGGCGGGCUUGAGUGCGGCAGAGGGGGGUGGAAUUCCGCGUGUAGCAGUGAAAUGCGUAGAGAUGCGGAGGAACACCGAUGGCGAAGGCAGCCCCCUGGGUCGACACUGACGCUCAGGCACGAAAGCGUGGGGAGCAAACAGG